AGAGUUUGAUCAUGGCUCAGAACGAACGCUGGCGGCGUGCUUAACACAUGCAAGUCGAACGGGAUCCAGAGCUUGCUCUGGUGAGAGUGGCGCACGGGUGAGUAACGCGUGGAUAACCUGCCCUGGUAUCCGGAAUAACAUCUCGAAAGGGGUGCUAAUACCGGAUAAGCCUACGGAGCCCUCGGUCUCUGCAGGAAAAGGUGGCCUCUAUUUAUUAGCUACCGUAUCAGGAUGGGUCCGCGUACCAUUAGCUAGUUGGUGGGGUAAUGGCCUACCAAGGCGACGAUGGUUAGCUGGUCUGAGAGGAUGAUCAGCCACACUGGAACUGAGACACGGUCCAGACUCCUACGGGAGGCAGCAGUGGGGAAUUUUGCGCAAUGGGGGAAACCCUGACGCAGCAACGCCGCGUGAGUGAUGAAGGCUUUCGGGUCGUAAAGCUCUGUCAGAGGGGAAGAAAUGAGAUUGGCUAAUAUCCAAUUUUCUUGACGGUACCCUCAAAGGAAGCACCGGCUAACUCCGUGCCAGCCGCCGCGGUAAUUC
rnacentral:rRNA from 1 species